CCUACGGGAGGCAGCAGUGAGGAAUAUUGGUCAAUGGGCGCGAGCCUGAACCAGCCAAGUCGCGUGAGGGAAGACGGUCCUAUGGAUUGUAAACCUCUUUUGUCGGGGAGCAAAAGACGCCACGCGUGGCGUUCCGAGAGUACCCGAAGAAAAAGCAUCGGCUAACUCCGUGCCAGCAGCCGCGGUAAUACGGAGGAUGCGAGCGUUAUCCGGAUUUAUUGGGUUUAAAGGGUGCGCAGGCGGAAGGUUAAGUCAGCGGUAAAAUUGCGAGGCUCAACCCCUUCGAGCCGUUGAUACUGGUAUUCUUGAGUGAGUGAGAAGUAUGCGGAAUGCGUGGUGUAGCGGUGAAAUGCAUAGAUAUCACGCAGAACUCCGAUUGCGAAGGCAGCAUACCGGCGCUCAACUGACGCUCAUGCACGAAAGUGUGGGUAUCGAACAGGAUUAGAUACCCUUGUAGUC
rnacentral:rRNA from 1 species